AACAACAAGCAUUGCAGGUGUGGCUACUGUGACCCAUGUGCAUCAGUAGGUAGCAGAGAGGAGAGAGAGGCUAUGUCUACACUCAGUGUUCUGACCUGUGAACAUCUGAAUGAUUAAUAACCUAAAAUU
ensembl:snoRNA LOC120101320 small nucleolar RNA SNORA17